GGGCCCACCACACAGUGCUGUGUCUGUGUCUUGAGAGCAAUGGGGAGCCACAGAUGGCACGAAGCAGGGACGUGACACUGUCCGGUUGGCCUUGGGAACAGGAGCUCCGGCAGCUCUCUGGACAAUGACCUUCCUCCUCUGCCUUUAACUCCAGCUCUGAUCCGUUUGGACACCCAGCGCCUAUUGGGAAACUCUGAACGCUUGCUCAAGAAACGUUACUACAGCGAACAGCCCCCUCAGGAGUCUUCAUGACUGCUCCAAUCACCCUUGGAACCGAACAGAUGUGCAAAAGGGAAAGUGAUUUCCCAAGACCGUGGGCUCACGGUCCAGAUCUCAUCAGGAGGUUUGGCUUCAGAACCUUCAUCGGCUGGUCACAAGGUGCAGGACUUGAGCAUCUCCGCAGGGAGAUUCCCCCCAUGUAGAAAUGCUGUGGUUGCUUCUUACCAGCACUUAAACUGGGCAAGAUCUGUUGGCUGAUCAGGUUGGAUAUUUUGAUCGCGUUCUCCGUCUCCAUGCAGAGACAAGGCAAUUGCAUUGGUUAUCGCUGGGUAGGUCAUGUGACCACAAACUUUGCAGCUGAAGGUGACACACAGGUAGCAUCUCAGAGCCCCCGCGCAGCAGGGGUCUGGAUAGGGAUGGGGCCCACAAGGUGCGAUCAGGAGUGGGGCUACGUUCUUGUCUGAGUCUUGGCUGCAGAAGGAUCUGCCUCCAACUUUAUGUGGGUCCGCUGACGUGAGGUUCCUCGAGGUCUGUUGGAUUUAGGGCCCCAGGUUCUUGCUGACUAUUGGCCAGAGGUUGCCCUUAGCUCCUAGAAGCGGCAGCCAGCUCCUGUUGUAAGUUAGCAAACUGAGUACAAAUUGAAAAUCAUUAACUUGCUGCUUUGGCUUCUGUAAACUGCUUUGCAAAUAUAUCUUUCCGUUCACUGCUCUAACUAUGCGGCUCUUUGUUGGAAUUAUCAGAAGGUGCUAACCACGCCUGUAAAUUUGCCUGCUUUCCAAAUGCCAAUUUAGAUGGUAAAACUGCUCUCCCACCUCAUCUCUGAAGCUGACCGGACAAAGUGUACGCGUAGGAAGUCACGUAUUCACAAUCUCACAGAACCCGGAGCGCCUAACUGUAAUUGGUCAUCCAAGACCCUCUUAAGACAAAGAACUUUAAAACUGAUAGGGUCUUGCCAGAAUUACUGUCUGUUUGUAAAGAUGUGACAGGGUGUCCUAAAAUUGAUGUAAACUCUAAUUGGUUAACUAAAUGAUGAUGGUUGAUGCCUUGCUAAAGUCAAUAUAAGCUCACUGCCACCUUUGUUCAGGGCCGUUCUCUGCUCCUUAACACCAGGGAGAUCGGGUUUGGCCUGGCUGUAAAUAAAAUCUCGCCUCGCUUCUA